GCGUGAGUGAAGAAGGCCUUAGGGUUGUAAAACUCUUUCGCCAGGGAAGAUAAUGACGGUACCUGGUAAAGAAGCCCCGGCUAACUCCGUGCCAGCAGCCGCGGUAAUACGGAGGGGGCUAGCGUUGUUCGGAAUUACUGGGCGUAAAGCGUGCGUAGGCGGAUCUUUAAGUUGGGGGUGAAAUCCCGGGGCUUAACCCCGGAACUGCCUCCAAAACUAUAGAUCUAGAAUCCUGGAGAGGUGAGUGGAAUUCCUAGUGUAGAGGUGAAAUUCGU
rnacentral:rRNA from 1 species